rnacentral:rRNA from 1 species
GAACGCUCGUAGUCGGAUUUCGGGGCGGUCCGACCGGUCUGCCGAUGGGUACGCACUGGUCGGAGCGUCCUUUUUGCCGGAGACCGUGCCUACUCUUAACUGAGCGGGGGCGGGAGACGGCACUUUUACUUUGAAAAAAUCAGAGUGUUCCAAGCAGGCAGCUCGCUCUUGCAUGGAUUAGCAUGGGAUAAUGAAAUAGGACUUUGGUGCUAUUUUGUUGGUUUCGAACACCGAAGUAAUGAUGAGAAGGGACAGUCAGGGGCACUCGUAUUCCGCCGAGAGAGGUGAAAUUCUCAGACCAGCGGAAGACGAACCACUGCGAAAGCAUUUGCCAGGGAUGUUUUCACUGAUCAAGAACGAAAGUUAGGGGAUCGAAGACGAUCAGAUACCGUCGUAGUCUUAACCAUAAACCAUGCCGACUAGGGAUUGGAGGAUGUUCACUGAUUGACUCCUUCAGCACCUUACGGGAAACUAAAGUCUUUGGGUUCCGGGGGGAGUAUGGUCGCAAGGCUGAAACUUAAAGGAAUUGACGGAAGGGCACCACCAGGUGUGGAGCCUGCGGCUUAAUUUGACUCAACACGGGGAAACUUACCAGGUCCAGACAUUUUGAGGAUUGACAGAUUGAGAGCUCUUUCAUGAUUAGAUGGGUGGUGGUGCAUGGCCGUUCUUAGUUGGUGGAGUGAUUUGUCUGGUUAAUUCCGUUAACGAACGAGACCUUAGCCUGCUAAAUAGUGACGCGAACUCUUUGUUCGCGGGCCACUUCUUAGAGGGACAACUUGUCUUCAACAAGUGGAAGUUUGAGGCAAUAACAGGUCUGUGAUGCCCUUAGAUGCUCUGGG